ensembl:lncRNA
AACACACACAAGUUUGUAUGUUGGAGUCCUGAUCCCCUCGGACCCCAGAAUGUGACUCCUUGGAGCUGGGGUCUUUAGCAUGGGCCCUGGUCCAGCCUGACGGUUGUCCUUAGAAGAGGGACUGCUGUGUGAGGACAGGGGAGAGGCUGACCGUCAGCAGGGCAGGGAGUGAGGUCUCAGAAGGAACCGCGUGCUGAUUUACACCAAUUAAAAUUUGCAUGGCUGAACCCCAGCUUGGACAGGCAGAGACUGGAGAAAGUGUGGACAGAGGGAGCAGGAAGGAGGGAGAAAAACAGGCUUGAUAGGCUGCAAGCGAGAGUGUGAGACAGAAAGCUACUGAAUAUGGAAAUUGAAGACGAAAAAAUACAGACACUUACGACACAGAACAUGAGCAACCAAAUGGAGAACAUCCCUGCCACCCCGGAAAGUUCCUUCACCUCCUCCCAGUCAUGUCUACCCCUUCCAUCCAAGGCAACCACCGUUCUGAUCGUUUUUGUCACCGUGGAUUAGCCUUCUGUGUUGUAGGACUUCUCAUAAAUAAUAUCUUACAGCGCUGUUAUUUGCGUGGCCUUUGUCACUCAGCGAAGGAUUUCUGAGGCUCUGCCGUUGUGCUGGUGUGUUGGUCUCCCCUGCCUCUUUACUAAUGAGCAGUGUUCCAUCACGUGACUGUCACUCAGACUCUUGCCUGUUCUCCUCCUGGUGGUCCCCUGGGCCAUCUCCAGGCUUUGGAUAAUAUUACGAAUAAAGAUGC